rnacentral:lncRNA from 1 species
UCUAACAAUCUAACUUGAAAUUGAAAAAAUACUAUAACUUAAGACUGCGUUUGGUUCGGGUAUAAGUAAGAACGAUUUAUUCUAGAAAUAAACGCAAGUUCAGAUGUAAGUAGGCACUAUAACAGAAUUAGGUUAUAGGGACACAUGUUUGGGACACUUUUGUCUAAGUGUCUCAUUUAUGUCAAAAUUUUAAAAAAUAUCUACUAAUGCCUAAGUAUAAAGCCGAAUCCAACAAAAAAUAAAAGGUUCUAUAUUCAACCCAUCCAACCCAGCUCAUUUGGUCCGAUUCCAAAUAGAAAAGAAAAAAAAAAAAAGAAAAAUCGAUUACCAUCUCCCCUUCUUCCCUUACUCAAUCCACUGAAAUCCUAGACGAAGGGCCCUUCCCUCUCGUCCUCCUCCGCCACCGCAGCCAACGAGGUAGAGUUCUGGCGGUUGCUAGAUGCUUAAAUAAGUGUUGCUAAAUUAGCAGCACUAUUUUAGGUUAUAGCGACACUCUUUAACUGUCACUAUAUACCUAGCGACCCCACAUAUAGCAACACUUUUUAAAAGUGUCGGUAAUUUAGUCAGCAGCACUUUUUUUGACCUAUACCGACAUUUAAAAGUGUCGCUAUAGACCGUUUUUGUUGUAGUGAGGAAACUAGACAAAUUUUGCGUUUGCAUGAAAAUUGAGUUAUUCCUAAGAAUAAGAUAAAUAUUGUUAGAGUGAAAUAAGGGGAACAAGAGUUAUAAUUUAAAAUUAAAAUUAUUAUCUAAUUAAUUAACAUCAAAAUAUUACUUAAAAAUAAUUUAAUAAAUUAAUAAAUUUAUUAUCUAUGAAUAUUGUAUAAGAUAAUAAAAACAUAUUAAUUAACUAAUUAAAAAAAUAAUUUAACUUUUUACUUAGUUAGUAAAUUAUUUUAGCUAGAUAACUAGUAAAACAAAUUAAUUAGAUUAAUAGAAAUAUCAAUGGUUGAUCAAUAAAUAAAUAUUAGUUUAUGAAUAAAUACAUUAAAUUAUUAAUAAUUAAUUAUAAAUAAUAAAUAAAUAAAUAAAUUUAUUAUUUAAGCAAUCUGGGAACAAAUUUUGUUCCAGAAAAAAUGGUGGAACAGCAGUUCCAGUCUUAUACCAGUUUAUUCCAGAAAUCCGAGAAUUACUAUUCUCGGCUACCAAACACAGCGUUUGGAAACAAAGGGAUCUAACCAGGGCUUUAUUCCCCCUUUAUUCCGAACCAAACACUAUCUGAAAGUUUGAAAUGUAAGAUAAGAUAUAGGGAUA